rnacentral:lncRNA from 1 species
ACGGGGUCGAAAUGUGUCGAGAGCUACGUGUACACUGGCUGUGACGUGGUUCGAGAUAUGUUUUCAUAAUGUUGCAAUUUUCUGUAAAAUAAUAACAAUAAUAAUAAUGAUAAAAACGGUUCAAAGUUAAAAUUUGCAUAUAAGUUCUUAAUUGCAAAAAAUCAUAUAAUUAAGCCGAAUAUGACAGUUGAGCAACCGUGCUAGAACCACGGAACUCCGGAAUGCCUAACACCUUCUCCCGGGCUAACAGAAUUCCUUAUUCAGAU